UCCUACGGGACGCAGCAGUGGGGAAUAUUGCACAAUGGGGGGAACCCUGAUGCAGCGACGCCGCGUGGGUGAAGGAGUACUUCGGUACGUAAAGCCCUAUCAGCAGGAAAGAAAAUGACGGUACCUGACUAAGAAGCCCCGGCUAACUACGUGCCAGCAGCCGCGGUAAUACGUAGGGGGCAAGCGUUAUCCGGAUUUACUGGGUGUAAAGGGAGCGUAGACGGAAGUGCAAGUCCGGAGUGAAAGCCCGGGGCUCAACCCUGGGACUGCUCUGGAAACUGUAAAGCUGGAGUGCGGGAGGGGGA
rnacentral:rRNA from 1 species